rnacentral:rRNA from 1 species
GACGAACGCUGGCGGCGUGCCUAACACAUGCAAGUUGAGCGACGAACCAGGGCUUGCCCUGGGGCAAAGCAGCGAACGGGUGAGUAACACGUGGGUAACCUACCCCGAUAACCGGGACAACCCGAGGAAACUCGGGCUAAUACCGGAUGUGCUCACUGGACUUCGGUUCAGUGCGUAAAGGAAGCUUCGGCCUCCGUAUCGGGAGGGGCCCGCGGCCCAUUAGUUUGUUGGUGAGGUAACGGCUCGCCAAGACCGCGAUGGGUAGCUGGUCUGAGAGGACGAUCAGCCACACUGGGACUGAGACACGGCCCAGACUCCUACGGGAGGCAGCAGUGGGGAAUCUUGCGCAAUGCGCGAAAGCGUGACGCAGCAACGCCGCGUGGGGGAAGAAGGCCUUCGGGUUGUAAACCCCUUUCAGGAGGGACGAAGGUUCGGCGGUGAAUAGCCGUCCGGACUGACGGUACCUCCACAAGAAGCCCCGGCUAACUACGUG